CACGUGGUAUCCUGUCUGAAUAUGGGGGGACCAUCCUCCAAGGCUAAAUACUCCUGACUGACCGAUAGUGAACCAGUACCGUGAGGGAAAGGCGAAAAGAACCCCGGCGAGGGGAGUGAAAAAGAACCUGAAACCGUGUACGUACAAGCAGUGGGAGCACCUUCGUGGUGUGACUGCGUACCUUUUGUAUAAUGGGUCAGCGACUUAUAUUCUGUAGCAAGGUUAACCGUAUAGGGGAGCCGAAGGGAAACCGAGUCUUAACUGGGCGUUAAGUUGCAGGGUAUAGACCCGAAACCCGGUGAUCUAGCCAUGGGCAGGUUGAAGGUUGGGUAACACUAACUGGAGGACCGAACCGACUAAUGUUGAAAAAUUAGCGGAUGACUUGUGGCUGGGGGUGAAAGGCCAAUCAAACCGGGAGAUAGCUGGUUCUCCCCGAAAGCUAUUUAGGUAGCGCCUCGUGAACUCAUCUUCGGGGGUAGAGCACUGUUUCGGCUAGGGGGCCAUCCCGGCUUACCAACCCGAUGCAAACUACGAAUACCGAAGAAUGUUAUCACGGGAGACACACGGCGGGUGCUAACGUCCGUCGUGAAGAGGGAAACAACCCAGACCGCCAGCUAAGGUCCCAAAGUCAUGGUUAAGUGGGAAACGAUGUGGGAAGGCACAGACAGCCAGGAUGUUGGCUUAGAAGCAGCCAUCAUUUAAAGAAAGCGUAAUAGCUCACUGGUCGAGUCGGCCUGCGCGGAAGAUGUAACGGGGCUAAACCAUGCACCGAAGCUGCGGCAGCGACGCUUAUGCGUUGUUGGGUAGGGGAGCGUUCUGUAAGCCGUUGAAGGUGUGCUGUGAGGCAUGCUGGAGGUAUCAGAAGUGCGAAUGCUGACAUAAGUAACGAUAAAGCGGGUGAAAAGCCCGCUCGCCGGAAGACCAAGGGUUCCUGUCCAACGUUAAUCGGGGCAGGGUGAGUCGACCCCUAAGGCGAGGCCGAAAGGCGUAGUCGAUGGGAAACAGGUUAAUAUUCCUGUACUUGGUGUUACUGCGAAGGGGGGACGGAGAAGGCUAUGUUAGCCGGGCGACGGUUGUCCCGGUUUAAGCAUGUAGGCGGAGGUUCCAGGUAAAUCCGGUACCUUUUAACG
rnacentral:rRNA from 1 species